UACGUAGGGGGCAAGCGUUGUCCGGAAUCAUUGGGCGUAAAGCGCGUGUAGGCGGUCCAGUAAGUCCGCUGUGAAAGCCCAGGGCUCAACCCUGGGAUGCCGGUGGAUACUGUUGGGCUCGAGUCCGGAAGAGGCGAGUGGAAUUCCCGGUGUAGCGGUGAAAUGCGCAGAUAUCGGGAGGAACACCAAUGGCGAAGGCAGCUCGCUGGGACGUGACUGACGCUGAGACGCGAAAGCGUGGGGAGCAAACAGG
rnacentral:rRNA from 1 species